GGACUACACGGGUAUCUAAUCCCGUUUGCUCCCCAAGCUUUCGUACCUCAGCGUCAGGACGAGCCCAGGCAGUCGCUUUCGCCACUGGUGUUCCUCCCAAUAUCUACGCAUUUCACCGCUACACUGGGAAUUCCACUGCCCUCUGCUGUCCUCCAGAGUCUGGCAGUUUUGGGUGCCACAGCGAGGUUGAGCCUCGCGCUUUCACAUCCAACUUACCAAACCGCCUACGUACGCUUUACGCCCAGUAAUUCCGAACAACGCUCGCAUCCUACGUCUUACCGCGGCUGCUGGCAC
rnacentral:rRNA from 1 species